ensembl:lncRNA
GUCUCUACCUGGAGUUCUCUCCUUUGGAGUGUUUUGCAGGCCCUGAUCCUUGGGAUGGGGAAGGCAGAGUCCAGUGAGGCUUGAGGAUGAUGCCCUCCCUGCAGUGACAUGCUCAUUCCCUUGGUUUUAUGUCACAGUGAAACUUGGAGCAUCAGAACGUAACUCAAAUCCUCCUUGGGGUACUGCACCACAGUGAUGGACAGGCCAUGGCUUUCUGUCUCAGAGGGAGCUCAGCAGAAAAAAAGAAGGAUGUGGUCAAGGACGUGAGUCGACACGCUCACACAGCACUAAGUGCAUGAGUGCAGCUCUAGCAAAGUAGGUCAUGUCAACAAGAGGCUGGCUGAGCGAAACGGGAUGCUCUGGUGUUCCAUUAACAUUAGCAUUAACAUUAACAUGAUGAGUCGCUCACUCCUCCCAUGGGGUCCCCAUGGACAUGGCUGCUCCCUCCCAUUGCUGGUGAAGCUCUGAAGAAGGAGAAUGGCUUUGGGAAGAGCUGCUGAGAGCCCAGCCCUUGUGGUGUGCAUGGAGGGAGGGGUUCUGGAGACAGAUAGAGCCUUUUGCCCACAGGAGGUGGGUGCUGGAGAGAGGAAGGAAGAGAAGAGGGUUUCUAGCCCAGGGAGGGAGAGAGGAGGCUGGUAGGCCAAUGCCAGUGCUCAGCAUUGCUAGUCCUUCCUCGCAGGCAUCAUAUGUAAAUUGAAAACAUCUACUCAUGACUCAGGUUCUCUUGUCAGCUCUCUACCAUGCUCAUCCCAAUCUCUUCCUUUCUGCUACUUCCUACACUGCUGCCGAGGCUGAAGCAACACCCUGAGGCUGUGACCACCUAUGCUGGUGUUUUUUCUCCAGGCUGGAGCAAAUAAAUAAAUAAGUCAUCCUCAAAGGUGCCAUUAAGGAGCAGAGAGUUAGUGAUUAGUGGCAACAGGAAAGGGGAAAAAAUUAUAAACAAAGAAGUCAUCGUCUUUUCCGUGGGGAGAGCACUUCUAAAAAUCCUUUAACAGGGCUCAUUAAAUAUUCAUGGACUCUGUGGCUGGCUAUACAUCCUGAUUAGCCCAUGGCUUCAGCUCAUUGUGUCCGGGGUGUUUCUGCUCCUCACUGUGGAAAUAAAAGCUGAUGGUCCAUCCUGCAUGACCACUGAAUCUGUGCAUUGGCGCAGGUUGCCUACCAGCCCAGGAGCCCUCCUGACCUUCCUGCUGCUUGCUGGCCAAUUAGUCGAAUCAAAGGAGACACAUAGAAAUGCAGGCCUUAAAUGCAGCUCUGGUUCAGGCUUUGGUGGGAUCUGGACAGAUUCAUGCCCUAGAGGGUUGGGGAAUAACAUCUCCUUACCCUCCUCUGCCAGGCUGGACUUCAUCUCCUUCAUGUUCAAGAAAUCACCUCCCUGGGGGACAGGCAGCUCUCAAGUUCAGGAGCUUCUCUGUGAAGUGGAGAGUCUCUGAGCUUGGUGCAAAGAUGAAAGAGACUGGCCUUUUGCCACCUAAAAUAGUGAUAAAACUGCAUGAAUGGAAGCCCAAC